rnacentral:lncRNA from 1 species
GUGAAGAGAGCUAAAAUCUUAUCCCGCAACUUACAUUUCUUGACUAGUUUUAAAUGUUUGGAUCGUAAUUUUUGAUAAUGAAUUUUAAAUUAUGGCCAACUUCAGAGGUUUUAAUUAGUUUCUAGCCUCUAACAUCUCUUUUGGAUAGGUCAAGCCAUAGAAAGGAUGGAUGAGAGGAAAAUAGAGGAAUGCACUGGAUCCCAUAUUUGUCCUGAUGACAAUCUCUGCUACUGCUGCAACAAACUGCUCGUCCGACUCUGUUAUAGUACACAGGCAGAAUGCUUGACCAUCUGCGAUCCUCCAAGAGACCUU